UUUAUUGGAGAGUUUGCUCCUGGCUCAGGACGAACGCUGGCGGCGUGCCUAAUACAUGCAAGUCGAGCGGACCAUUUAAAAGCUUGCUUUUGAAAGGCCAGCGGCGGACGGAGGCGUGACACGUGGGCAACCUGCAUGUAAGACUGGGAUAACUUCGGGACACCGGAGCUAAUACCGGCUACUAUAAGGAACCACCUGGUUCUUAAUUGAAAGAUGGUUUUGGCUAUCACUUACAGAUGGGCCCGCGGCGCACUCGCAUGUUGCUGAGGUGACAGCCCAACCAGGCGACGAUGAGUAGC
rnacentral:rRNA from 1 species